rnacentral:rRNA from 1 species
CCUACGGGAGGCAGCAGUGGGGAAUCUUGCGCAAUGGGCGAAAGCCUGACGCAGCAACGCCGCGUGCGGGAAGAAGGCUUUCGGGCUGUAAACCGCUUUCAGCAGGAACGAAAAUGACGGUACCUGCAGAAGAAGGAGCGGCCAACUAUGUGCCAGCAGCCGCGGUGAUACAUAGGCUUCAAGCGUUGUCCGGAUUUAUUGGGCGUAAAGAGUUCGUAGGCGGUCGAGUAAGUCGGGUGUGAAAAUUCUGGGCUCAACCCAGAGACGCCACCCGAUACUGCUUGACUUGAGUUCGAUAGGGGAGUGGGGAAUUCCUAGUGUAGCGGUGAAAUGCGCAGAUAUUAGGAGGAACACCGGUGGCGAAGGCGCCACUCUGGAUCGAUACUGACGCUGAGGAACGAAAGCAUGGGUAGCAAACAGGAUUAGAUACCCUGGUAGUCCAUGCCAUAAACGGUGGGCACUAGGUGUGGGUUUCUAUUAACGAAAUCCGCGCCGUCGCUAACGCAUUAAGUGCCCCGCCUGGGGAGUACGGUCGCAAAGCUAAAACUCAAAGGAAUUGACGG